AGUGAACGCUGGCGGUAGGCCUAACACAUGCAAGUCGAACGGCAGCACAGUAAGAGCUUGCUCUUACGGGUGGCGAGUGGCGGACGGGUGAGGAAUACAUCGGAAUCUACUUUUUCGUGGGGGAUAACGUAGGGAAACUUACGCUAAUACAGCAUACGCCCUACGGGUGAAAGCAGGGGAUCUUCGGACCUUGCGCGAUUGAAUGAGCCGAUGUCGGAUUAGCUAGUUGGCGGGGUAAAGGCCCACCAAGGCGACGAUCCGUAGCUGGUCUGAGAGGAUGAUCAGCCACACUGGAACUGAGACACGGUCCAGACUCCUACGGGAGGCAGCAGUGGGGAAUAUUGGACAAUGGGCGCAAGCCUGAUCCAGCCAUACCGCGUGGGUGAAGAAGGCCUUCGGGUUGUAAAGCCCUUUUGUUGGGAAAGAAAAGCAGCAGGUUAAUACCCCGCUGUUCCGACGGUACCCAAAGAAUAAGCACCGGCUAACUUCGUG
rnacentral:rRNA from 1 species